rnacentral:lncRNA from 1 species
ACAGCUGUGCUGUGCAGUGGUACGACCAGGACAGUGGGAGCUGAAGACUGGGGCUUGGCCAGGACGCCUGCAGCUGUAGUAGUGUGUAGACAGCUGUGCUGUGGCUCCACUGUUUCAGAACUACUUGGAAACAUCACUAGAGGGUUUGGAGUUUACUGUUAUGGGAUCUGAACCUUCACUGAGGGAAUGUUGAAGAACACAUGAACUCCUUCGGUGGACUCACAGUGAUCUGCUCAGACCACCAGGAGGCAGAAGAGAGUGAACAGGGUGAGCAGCAUGGAUCUUUAUGUCAAUGUCAUGGAGAUGGUCUCUCUGAGCUCCAGAGCUGAGGCCGGGAGAGGAGAGAGCAGCCCAGGGGGACGGAGUAGGAUGAAGCUGACCCUACAUACUGAUCUCAGAGACACACGUGCCCCUGCCUGCCUGCCUGCUCAGUGACACUGCAGUACAGAGGACAUAGCAGCAGCAGACAGACAGACAGGCAGAGAGACACGCAGGCAGACCGACACGCAGGCAGAGAGACAGGCAGGCAAAACAAGCCGACAGGCAGAACGUAGGAAGGUGUGUCGAGGCCUUGUCUCCUCUUCCUCGAGUAGCAGAGAUCCUGUUCUCCUGCGCUCUCCUUCAAGGACUUCCACACUCUGAGACCAAG